rnacentral:rRNA from 1 species
GACGAGCCACCCAAACGUUAUUCGGAAUUACUGGGCUUAAAGGGUGCGUAGGCGGUGCGGAAAGUAGGGUGUGAAAGCCCUUGGCUCAACCAAGGAAUAGCGCUCUAAACUACCGUGCUUGAGGGAGAUAGAGGUAAGCGGAACUUCGGGUGGAACGGUGAAAUGUGUUGAUAUCCGAAGGAACACCGGUGGCGAAGGCGGGUCUCUGGGCCGAUACUGACGCUGAGGAGCGAAAGCGUGGGGAGCGAACAGG